UGGAGCUGUGUGCUUUCACAGAAGACAGGCCUCAUUUCUGACUUUUCCUCUUGCUGUUAUUUUCUUUAACCAUCAUGUUCUUCUGUGCAUUUCUGAUUCUUUCAGUAUUAACAGGUGACUCUUUUGAAAAUGUGAUAAGAUCUUAUGGGUCUGUUAUCCCUGCCAGAGAUGGUGAGACUGUUACUCUCUCCUACAACUACAGUGUUUCUCCAUAUGGCUUGUUUUGGUAUCAUCAAUAUUCCAGAUCCAAACCAGAAUUCCUCCUCUCCACCACUGAAUCUGGAGAUCCUGUUGAAGCUGAUUCAUCAGCUUGGUUAUGUGUGCUUGGUGCUGACCGAAUUGGACCAGAUGAUCAGGACACUGAAGUUUUUAGGAAAAAGGGACAAUCAGUUACACAGAAAUGCUCUUAUGUAACAAGCAGUGACAAUAUCUUUCUCUACUGGUGCAGACAGUAUCCUAACAGAGCUCUACAGUAUUUACUGCAGAGAGGAGCUUGACGGGAGAGUUAUAGUCAUACCUCAGACAGCAGAUUUUCAUCAUCUACAUCCAGUUCAUCCACUGAGUUCAGUUACAGACUAAUUAUGGCAGAUACAGCUCUCUACUA